rnacentral:rRNA from 1 species
UUCAAAGUUGCGGACCCCCCCCCCUUUUUUUUUGUUUUUUUUUUUGCUCAGAUUGAACGCUGGCGGCAGGCCUAACACAUGCAAGUCGAGCGGAUGAAGGGAGCUUGCUCCUGGAUUCAGCGGCGGACGGGUGAGUAAUGCCUAGGAAUCUGCCUGGUAGUGGGGGAUAACGUCCGGAAACGGGCGCUAAUACCGCAUACGUCCUGAGGGAGAAAGUGGGGGAUCUUCGGACCUCACGCUAUCAGAUGAGCCUAGGUCGGAUUAGCUAGUUGGUGGGGUAAAGGCCUACCAAGGCGACGAUCCGUAACUGGUCUGAGAGGAUGAUCAGUCACACUGGAACUGAGACACGGUCCAGACUCCUACGGGAGGCAGCAGUGGGGAAUAUUGGACAAUGGGCGAAAGCCUGAUCCAGCCAUGCCGCGUGUGUGAAGAAGGUCUUCGGAUUGUAAAGCACUUUAAGUUGGGAGGAAGGGCAGUAAGUUAAUACCUUGCUGUUUUGACGUUACCAACAGAAUAAGCACCGGCUAACUUCGUGCCAGCAGCCGCGGUAAUACGAAGGGUGCAAGCGUUAAUCGGAAUUACUGGGCGUAAAGCGCGCGUAGGUGGUUCAGCAAGUUGGAUGUGAAAUCCCCGGGCUCAACCUGGGAACUGCAUCCAAAACUACUGAGCUAGAGUACGGUAGAGGGUGGUGGAAUUUCCUGUGUAGCGGUGAAAUGCGUAGAUAUAGGAAGGAACACCAGUGGCGAAGGCGACCACCUGGACUGAUACUGACACUGAGUGGAAGACGCCA